AGCGAACGCUGGCGGCAGGCUUAACACAUGCAAGUCGAACGAUGAAACUCUAGCUUGCUAGAGAUGAUUAGUGGCGGACGGGUGAGUAACAUUUAGGAAUCUGCCUAGUAGUGGGGGAUAGCUCGGGGAAACUCGAAUUAAUACCGCAUACGACCUACGGGUGAAAGGGGGCGCAAGCUCUUGCUAUUAGAUGAGCCUAAAUCAGAUUAGCUAGUUGGUGGGGUAAAGGCCCACCAAGGCGACGAUCUGUAACUGGUCUGAGAGGAUGAUCAGUCACACCGGAACUGAGACACGGUCCGGACUCCUACGGGAGGCAGCAGUGGGGAAUAUUGGACAAUGGGGGCAACCCUGAUCCAGCCAUGCCGCGUGUGUGAAGAAGGCCUUUUGGUUGUAAAGCACUUUAAGCAGGGAGGAGAGGCUAAUGGUUAAUACCCAUUAGAUUAGACGUUACCUGCAGAAUAAGCACCGGCUAACUCUGUG
rnacentral:rRNA from 1 species